AGCGCUUUUGUGCCUUUGAGCUACAACUGAGUGCAGUACUUGUUCUUAUCAGUUUAAUAUCCCAUAUGCCCCCAUUGGUCGGCAACAUAUUAAACAGAUUUUUAGAACAGGGAUACGGAGAGAAGGCUUGCCCUGUCUGUUAACAUGUCUACAAAAAAUAUUGCUGUGCCUAUGUGUACGAUGCAG